CACAUGUUUGCUGCAACUGCUGAUUAGUCUGACUGAAAUGCGUAUUGUAUUUCUACGUACGUGUAAUCUAAUGUACAAUGCUAUACAAUUGAUAAAAGUGGGUGAUACAUCCAUUAAACUUAACGUCUUAAAACAAAAGUAUUUCAAAAGUUGUAAUUGAUUUAAUUGAUAUGCAGAAACAGAUGAAUUUCUAAAACAACUUGGAACAAAAACAAAAGUGUUUAAACUGACGAAAUGAUAGGACGUUUAAAUAUUUCAAUUUUAAAUCACGAGUGAUCAAGGAAUGCACGACUUACACAAUCAACUAUCGCACACUCCUUCAGUAAACACAAGGUUUCCAAAGUCAUGAAUAUUGCAUCAGGAGACAAUAGACAAUAUAUUUGAACAACCAUGAUAUUUCAAAGCUUAUAUACAAGAUUUUGACAUAUGUACUUUAAUUCCUUUUCAAAUGGUACAACUAUCUAUUGUAGACAGUGUUUUUUUCCCGAGAACUUACCACUUGAAUGCCAACUAUUAGAAAAAGAAGCCUUUCACUGGCUAACACGUCGUCCAGGAAAAUAUGGUGCGAUUUGGAUGUAAUCAAGGACACGCCAAAUCUAAAAGGAAUGUGUGGCCUUAAGAUCAAUUCAAACAAAUUCAGGAAAUGUUUUCAUUCAUCAAAUUCCCCUCUGUAUUGAACAAUUUUAAACAAGUGUAUGUGUAGUCGGCCAUUUACUGUACAACUUUCAGAUAAUUUAGAUCUCAUUAUAUUGUGUAACAAGUUGCAGUUUUGAUAUGUUUUUUGAUGAUUUUUUUCUAUAUAUAUUUAGAUCAAACCUGUUUUAAAAGCUAUAUGAGAAUAUAUGUUAAAUGCCGUAACUUCGAAAAAAAUAAAUUAUCAAAUGUAUUUAGCUUGAUCUGUUUAUUAUGAAAACUGCAUUUUUAAUUAACCAAAAUUAUAAUCUGACUGCUUACGUAUGUUUGACAUAGCUGUUUCGAAGGCGUCAUUCAUGUCAUUUAUAUCUUAA
rnacentral:lncRNA from 1 species